rnacentral:tRNA from 1 species
GCCUGGCUGGCUCAGUUGGUGGAGUGUGUGACUCUGGGUCUCAAGGUUGUGAGUUCUAGUCCCACACUGGGUA